ACGACGCUGGCGGCGUGCCUAAUACAUGCAAGUCGAACGGUCUUUCUAUGGAAGCUUGCUUCCACUGAGAAGAUAGUGGCGAACGGGUGAGUAACACGUGGGUAACCUGCCCAUAAGAGGGGGAUAACAUCCGGAAACGGGUGCUAAUACCGCAUAGUUUUCUUGAUCGCAUGAUUGAGAAAGGAAAGACGGCCUUUGUGCUGUCGCUUAUGGAUGGACCCGCGGCGUAUUAGUUAGUUGGUGAGGUAACGGCUCACCAAGACGAUGAUACGUAGCCGACCUGAGAGGGUGAUCGGCCACAUUGGGACUGAGACACGGCCCAAACUCCUACGGGAGGCAGCAGUAGGGAAUCUUCCGCAAUGGACGAAAGUCUGACGGAGCAACGCCGCGUGAGUGAAGAAAAGGUUUUCGGAUCGUAAAACUCUGUUGUCAGAGAAGAACAAGUUGGAGAGUAACUGCUCCAGCCUUGACGGUAUCUGACCAGAAAGCCACGGCUAACUACGUGCCAGCAGCGGC
rnacentral:rRNA from 1 species